UACGAAGGGGGCUAGCGUUGUUCGGAAUUACUGGGCGUAAAGGGCGCGUAGGCGGCCACCGCAAGUCGACUGUGAAAUCUCCGGGCUUAACCCGGAAAGGUCAGCCGAUACUGCGGGGCUAGAGUGCAGAAGGGGCAACUGGAAUUCUCGGUGUAGCGGUGAAAUGCGUAGAUAUCGAGAGGAACACCUGCGGCGAAGGCGGGUUGCUGGGCUGACACUGACGCUGAGGCGCGAAAGCUAGGGGAGCGAACGGG
rnacentral:rRNA from 1 species